rnacentral:rRNA from 1 species
UACAGAGGGUGCAAGCGUUGCUCGGAAUCAUUGGGCGUAAAGGGUAGGUAGGUGGUCUCGUUUGUCUGGGGUGAAAGCCUUGAGCUUAACUCAAGAAGUGCCUUAGAAACGGCGAGACUGGAGUCUUGGAGAGGGUCGUGGAAUUCCCAAGUAGAGGUGAAAUUCGUAGAUAUGGGGAGGAACACCGGUGGCGAAGGCGGCUCUCUGGGCCUUACCUGACGCUGAGGAGACGAAAGCGUGGUAGCGAACGAGG